GGGGGCGAAACGGCUUCGACGGGGAUAAAGAUGCUCAGGUUGCAUGUCGAGUUCCGCCAUCUCGUAAAACGGCGGGCCUAAACAUAAUCGCAGACGAUUAUAACUACGCAGUAGCCGCUUAAGGGCUACUCGUUCUUCGGUUUCUUUCUCGCGGAUUCCGACAGAACGUCAUUUUAGCGGGAUAGCGAACCUUUGAUGCCUGUAGAAGGAACGCGAAAUUUACAGACUAUCCAUGUAACUCUUUUGCCUGAACAGUGGUUACAUGGAGAAAUUCAAAGUUCAGGAUAAGCAUGUAGACGCCUGUGUUGAAUGUUUCCGGACGCGGGUUCAACUCCCGCCGCCUCCACCA
rfam:Desulfococcus oleovorans Hxd3, complete genome.